rnacentral:rRNA from 1 species
UACGGAGGAUGCAAGCGUUAUCCGGAUUUAUUGGGCGUAAAGCGUCCGUAGGUGGUUUUCUAAGUCUGCUGUUAAAGCGCGAGGCUUAACCUCGUACAGGCAGUGGAAACUGGAUGACUAGAGUAUGGUAGGGGUAGCGGGAAUUCCCAGUGUAGCGGUGAAAUGCGUAGAUAUUGGGAAGAACACCAGCGGCGAAAGCGCGCUACUGGGCCAUUACUGACACUCAUGGACGAAAGCUAGGGGAGCGAAAGGG